UUCGCUUCUCGCCUCUUUUGGCUAAGAUCAAGUGUGUAGUAUCUGUUCUUAUCAGUUUAAUAUCUGCUAUCUAUAACCAUCCCCUACCCGGGGAAUACUUAAUUAAUUGAUUUUUUUGGAUCACUGGAGCUGAAGCGAGGCUUGCUCUGUCCCACGAUGCCACUCAUGCGGCCUUGGUAUGCAGGUGUUUUUUCCC